GUCUUGGUCACCCACCUGGGGACUUCUAUCUAGAUUUUAUUGGCCAGGUGUUACCACUUAUCCCUUGGAGAAGCAGGUGAGCCUGGUCAUUCUGUCUUUAUCUUGAGGCCUGGCCUCCAACAGACGCACCUCUAGCCAUAGCUGUGAUGUGUUUUCAUCUUUUGCAUUCACUCUCUGAAGGGCUCAGCCCUGUCUGACUGCCUGGAAUAUUUCUACCUCACUCAGCUGUCUGUGACAGAGCCAGCACCCCUACCAUGCCGCCCCGCAGUGCAGAUGAAAUGAGAAAGCUGCAGGGGAACCCUGAGCUGGGCUCUCAGCACACUGCACCUGAGUGUGGGCCACGCUAGAUGAGAGCAAGUGUCCAUACAGAGGAUGGCAUGCGUCUUAGCUCAGGCUGACGAACAAAACCUUGCAAACCAGUGGCUUAAGCAAAGACAUGGGCUCCUUACGGUUCUGGAGACUGGGAAGUCCGACUGAGGUGUCAGGCAGUUUGGCUUCUGGUGAGCUCCUUCCUGGCUUGGGAGAGACUGGCUGUCUGCCUGCUGCGUCCCAAGUGAGAUUUCCUGGGCAUGAAAGAGAGUGCACGAGCUCUGGCUCUCUUCCCCUUCUUAUUGGGAGAGUGAUCCUAUUGGAUUCGGCCCCACACCGUGACCUCGUUUCACCUCAGUGCCCUCCACCUACCUGUAGCACACUCACUUGGGGCCAGGGCUUCAGAGCGCCAGCUUAGGAGGGACGUGACUUAGCCAGAACAGCACCUAAGAGGCUCUUGGUAGGCAGGAGCCACCAUCACAACUACCAAAACUACCGUUAAGCAGCGACAAGCCCUGGCCAUAUAAACACCCUGUCCCUUCAUUCUCAGCCAUAAUACUUGGGAGUUAGGAAUUGUUUUCAUUUUUACAAAUGAGGAAAGUGCGAUGUAACUAGUACCCUUUGACAUUACAAGAACUAGGUGGCGAGGUGCCGGCCCACGUAUGCUUAGUGAGGCUGUCAAACAUAGGCCCUGAGGUCCAACUGCCUGGAUUCAGAUCCCACCUCUGCCGUACACCUUGCUGUGUAACCACAGGCGAGUGUCCUGCCUUCUCGGCGCCUCACUGGCUAAACCCAUUACAGGGACAGUCUUCCUCUCAUAGCCCCCCAAAGGGGAGCAGCACAACCCCGCCAAGGUUCCGAGCUUUGCCGAGCUCACAGCCCUUGUGGCUGCAGGGCUGGACUUCGGGGUCAGGAUCUCCAGACCGAGCCCACCCUGGGGACCACUGUGCCACACUGCCCCAGACUCGGGUACCUGUCCGCCCGUGCCUGCCAGCUGCUCCUGACUCAGCGCUCCCUCCUGGGAACGCUGCUGCUCAGCUCCGCCAUGAACAGGACCCGGCCUGCUGUUCUGAUGGUGCUCAGAUUCAUUCUGAGGAGCAUCCAUCCCUCAGGCGGCAGGGGGACACCAGGCUGGGAGCACAGAAGGUUCUGGAAUGUUCCUUCACUCCUCGGCCCGACUCCCUCUCCGGAAGACUGGCGCAGUCUUCGGACUUUUUUUAAUUUUCAGAUUAAGAUAAUUUAAUACUCUCCGCGAUUCACAGAACAGUGGAAAAGAGCUCUGUUCCCAACGAUUCCCAGCGCCAGCACCAGAGCAGGCAGCUCAUUCAUCUUUAUUAGGCGUGUUCCAGAAAAAGCCUGAGAGCGAGAUCACUCAAGUCACCCCAGGAUCCUCAGCCCACCCCGAGGCAGGAUGAGCAGCCAGCGCAGGCGAGCCUCAUCCUGGGAUCCCCCUGCAGGAUGCCAUUAGGAGGAUCUGGCUCCUGGGGCCAUGCAGAGCCCUCUCCACCCAGCCUGUCAAUGUCAUGGAAGCCAAAUGCAUCCUGACAGUCGCAUUUCCUGAGCCAGCUGCUGAGUCACCACCAGGGAAGGCCCCAGGGCUCCAGGAACUGGGGUCUGCAAAUGGGGACAGGAUUAAAUAAAUCGGCGGAUGUCUGGAUUUCGUUGAGAGCCAGGGUUUCCCCUGUGGGAGAAGAGAAACGCCCGUGUGGAAUGGAGAGGGAAGAAAGAGCCCCCUGGAAUGAAUGAUAUCAGUGUGAACUCAUGUAACACAGGCACGUGUACGUACGUACGUACGUACGUACGAAGCACCCACGCAGGCACGGUCCCUCCCGAGGCCAAGCAGCACUGCUACCCUAGUAGUGACGAGCACAGGUUGGCGCCAUCUUUGUUUCUAAAUACCACUCUCCACUGAACCGGGCUGCUUGAGAAAUGGUCCAUUCCAAGGGCUGGGCAGGAAAAUUAUCUCGCCAUGCAGAAAAGGAGAUGCUCAAAAAAUUAGAGGGUCCUGUCCAAAGGACACGGAAGUCAGAGGCGGCUCAUGAGAGGGCUGCCACCCAGACAAGACCAAGAAGCCAGUCUCGUGGCCAAGAUCUUCCUUGUAGGAAGAUUUUUUUUUCCCUGCGCUUUUUCAGUCUUUCUAUCCUCUAGGCAUCUCCACCAUAUUCCAGUUUCUAUGCUUAAAUAAUUCCCACAGGAUGCAGAUGAACAACUCUGACACACAGAGCUUUCUUUUCUCUGUUCAGAAACCAUUCCCAUCUUUUAAGCGGUCUCACAUCACCCCAGCACACAUCUUGAAGAGUCUGUGCCUUGGUAAGUGUCUGCACAAUGCUCAGUUCCUGUCAGUGUGGACUGAACACUUGCUGAGUGCCCAGCCUCAGGCUGUGUGCCUUGCGUUAGCUGAAGGAGCCAUCAUGGCUGCUCUGUGAGUUCUGUUCAUAAUCCCAUUUCAGUGACAUUGAGGCAGAGACUUUCAAGGGUAAGGCAAUUGCCCAACACCAGGCAACCAGGAGUCACACAAACUGAACUUGGGUUCCAGGCCCAACUGUGUCCAGAGGCGUUGACGUUCUCCUGUAGGGGGUUGGAUGGUGGCCCCAGAAGAUAUGCCUGUCCUGAAUCCCUGAAACUUGUAUUACUGUCAACAGCAAAAGAGUGAACAUCAGUCACCUUUCAGGAUGGAGAGAUGGGAAUAAAUUAAGGAUCUCAACAGAGCCCCUGAAUGGAAUCACAUGUAUCCUUAUCAGAGCCAUUGAGGGAGGUGAGAGAGAGGAUGGACAGAAGAGAAGAGACCAUGUGAUGGUUAAUCUCGAGUGCCAGCUUGAUUGGAUUGAGAGAUUAAUGAAGCGCCCUCUCAGUGUGAGACAAUUGGCAUGUGGGCCAGCAAACUGAAAGGACAAAACUCGCCUAGAAUUGGGUGGUGCUGACCAGUAGGAUGGGGGCCCAGAUGGGACAAAAGUGGAAGGCGGUUCCUCCAGCACUCACAAGCUCCAUUCUGCUUGAGUGGACUGGUCUUUUGCUGCCAUUGCCUGUGGACCUCCAGCUCCAGCUUCUUCAGCCUUUCAGUCACACGAGUGACUCUCCAGGGAGCAACAAAGCUUUCAGCUUGCACCAGGCCUGCGUCCUGGGUCCCUCCUUGGGCGCAGCAUCCAGUUUCUUUUAGAUUGAGUGGCUUCCGGAUCCUCUGCAGCCUCUGAUCCUGUAAACCAGUCUAGGAAGCCCCCUUUAUAAUUAUAUAGAGAGUAUUGAUGCUGUUUCUGGAGAACCCUAACCAAUAUACGUGAAGACAGGCAGAGAUGGGAGAGAUGUGGCCACAGGCUCAGAGCCCCUGGACCCACCAGAAACUGGAAGAGGCAGCCAGGAGUAUGAAAGGAGACAUUUUGGCUAUGGGAAACCACCAGUUUGUGCUGAUUUGUUACAGCAGCCACAGGAAACCCAUAAAGCCUCUAUGCCUCUUUGCUUCCCAGCUUGGGAUUUGGGCACAUGGCAGGGGCCAGUGCUCCAGGGAAUUGUGAGCCAUGCCAUGCCACAGAUGCUCCUGUUUCUUUGUACUCUGGGCCUGCAGAGCAACUGAGAUGAGGAUGGAGCCUGGGGAGAAGGCGGCAGGACCCUGUGGUGAGAUGAGACCAUUAUCCACUUGAUCCGUGCAAAAUUCUUGAGCCUCGGUGUGGAGAGCUGUGUCCCGAGAGCCACAGAUGCAGCAGCACAAACUAGGGGCCUGCAGGGGCAGGAGGAAGGAGGCUGGAGGGUGGGCAAUGUAGGGACAGUGUGAACUGGUGCCGAGUCUUGUCUAACAGGACAUGACGAUGGCUGUGUCCAUCGUAGGCACAGCACUCCGGGUCUGCAAAGCCAGAACGAGCAUCUUCAUGUGACACUUGCCCAUUGUCAGUUUCCCUGCAGUAGGCUACACAGCCACUGGAUCCCUCCUGUGGCUCAGACAAGCUCCCCAAAGGGCUUGGCCCUUCGGCCCAUGGAAGGGACACGUUCACCAGGGAUUCUUGAAAACACAAUACAUUUCAACUGCAUUCCAUGUCCUGAUAGGACUCUGCCACCUUUGCCUUCGCAGCCACUGGGAGACAUGGAAGUGGGGAGUGGAAAGGGCAUUUGAACAGAACUUCCUUUCCCAUGUCACAGUGUCACAUGAGCACAAGGUAAAGCAGACAGUCUGUCUCCCUACUGGGAAUACAUCAGCGUCCAUACAGCAGGUGGCCCACCAGACAUGAACAUUAACAAGGAAUCAUGAGCAAGCCAGCUGUAACUGAGAGGCAUCCUGCAGGUUUGUAAGGGAGACCACAUGGCGGACUGUGGCAUCUGCUAACUCACACCUGGAAGGAAACAGGUGCGGGGUACCUCCCCUGGGGCCCAGAACCACCAGAAAAGUCCACUCCCAUGGCUCGCUGUGUGGGUGCAGCCACCCCCCAGAGAUGUGCACAUCCUAAUCCCAGAAACCUAUGUAUAUGUUUGUUUUUUGUUUUGGGGGGGUUUUUUUUUUUUUUUUUUGGUACUGGGAAU